rnacentral:lncRNA from 1 species
GGCCAUACAGCUGCGCGUUAUCAGCCAUCUGCAUACGGAUGGCGAAA